rnacentral:rRNA from 1 species
GAUGAACGCUGGCGGCGUGCCUAACACAUGCAAGUCGAACGAUGAAGCCCAGCUUGCUGGGUGGAUUAGUGGCGAACGGGUGAGUAACACGUGAGUAACCUGCCCUUAACUCUGGGAUAAGCCUGGGAAACUGGGCCUAAUACCGGAUAGGAGCGACCACCGCAUGGUGGGUGUUGGAGAGAUUGAUCGGUUUUGGCUGGUUUCGCGGCCAAUCAGCUUUUGGGUGAGGUAAUGGCACACCAAGGGCACGACGGGUAGCCGGCCUGGGAAGGUGACCGGACACACUGGGCCUGCGGGACGGCGCAGACUCCUACGGGAGGCAGUAGUGGGGAACAUUGCACAGUGGGCGCGAGCCUGAUGCAGCGGCCCCGCGUGAGGAAUGACCGCCUUCGGGUUAUAAACCUCUUUCAGUAGAGAAGAAGCGAAAGUGACGGUACCUGCAGAAGAAGCACCGGCUAACUACGUG